rnacentral:rRNA from 1 species
GUGAGUUUGAUCCUGGCUCAGAACGAACGCUGGCGGCAGGCCUAACACAUGCAAGUCGAACGAAGGCUUCGGCCUUAGUGGCGCACGGGUGAGUAACACGGUGGGAACAGUGCCCUUGGGUUCGGGAUAACGUCUGGAAACGGACGCUAAUACCGGAUGACCCCUGCGGGGGAAAGAUUUAUCGCCUGAGGAGCGGCCCGCGUCUGAUUAGGUAGUUGGUGGGGUAAUGGCCUACCAANGCCGACGAUCANGUAGCUGGUCUGAGAGGAUGAUCAGCCACACUGGGACUGAGACACGGCCCAGACUCCUACGGGAGGCAGCAGUGGGGAAUAUUGGACAAUGGGCGGAAGCCUGAUCCAGCCAUGCCGCGUGAGUGAUGAAGGCCUUCGGGUUGUAAAGCUCUUUCGCACGCGACGAUGAUACGGA